rnacentral:rRNA from 1 species
ACCCCAGUCCAGGCGAGGACACCCGCUGAGUUUAAGCAAUAUAACUUAAGCGGAGGAAAGGAGAAACUUA